rnacentral:rRNA from 1 species
GACAGAGGGUGCAAACGUUGCUCGGAAUCACUGGGCGUAAAGGGCGUGUAGGCGGGAAGGAAAGUCGGGCGUGAAAUCCCUGGGCUCAACCCCAGGAACUGCACUCGAAACUUCUUUUCUUGAGUGCCGGAGAGGAAAGCGGAAUACCUGGUGUAGAGGUGAAAUUCGUGAGAUAUCAGGUGGAACACCAGUGGCGAAAGGCGGCUUUCUGGGACGGUAACUGACGCUGGAGAACGCGAAAGCGUGGGGAGCAAACAGG